ensembl:lncRNA
GGCAUUAGAAGAGUUGAAACGAUUCUGCUAAUCUGCAAGGCUUGGAAGUGUUAUGAAGUAUUUCUUUGAUUAAAACCAGACGGACUCUUUAGAUGCUCGGAGAGGACACAAAUGCUGAAGGAGAAAAUGACGCAGGAGGGCAGCAGGAAGUUCAUCAAGACCUUCAUUUUUGUGUGCAAUUUCCAACACAGUUUUAAUGGAGUCUCUGAUGAAUUCUGUUUUCAGUGAGUUCUCUGUGUGGACAAAAUGCCACUUCCUUGUGUAAGAAACUUAAUACAGAAGCG